UUUUUUUUUGAGCAUUUUCUUUAAUUAACGAUGAAGACACUACAGUUCUAAGUACCAGACAGCAUCGGGGGUGGGUGGGGGGGGGACUGAAAAGCAUAACACUAUAAAGAAGACUGAGAAAAAAGUGAAUCUAAAUAAAAAUAUAUACCUGGCCUGGUACCCAUUACAUAUAUACAUAAUACAUAUGUUAUACACAUAUUUACAAUAAAUGUUUUGGUAGCAAUACAGACCAUGCAUUGGUCCUUUUGAACACAGAUGACGUAGCACCCAAAUCAGCACCACCAUCUUAAGAUGAAAAACCCAACUGCACAGACAUUAAAGGAAAAAAAUAGAUAUGUAUUUGAUUUGGCCCACCCUGUAGCCAAGAGGUGUAAGGAAAGAACUCAGUGAGAAAAAAUGGUUCCGGGAACUGCAUUCUUAAGCCAAUAGCAAAGUUCUAAAAAGAAAAAAAAAAAAAGGAAAACAGCAGUAAAGACGUCUAUAGAGACUGGUUUUCCUGAUUACUGAACUCUGUCCUAUCAUGUGACAUAUUGGUGCCACUGGGAAGAUGAACCACAAAAAUUAAGAGCAAGAUUGAAAGGCCAGGCGCAUAGCAAAAGUCUGCCAUACUAGAUCUCUUGGUGUAUAUAUCACAGAUGCCAAAUCAUCAACAGACUAGGAAAAGACAACUUUCCAGCUCUGCCCUGUUUUUCUAAUCAUAUUAGCUAAUUCUAAGUUCUUGAUUACUGACGAAUUCGUUAAGAGGAGGGUCGAACACCUCCAGUAUCAUCCCACCUCCUCCCAGCACUUAAUUUGAUGCUCUGGGUACAAGCAGGGAAGGAAUCCAACAUGCCAUCUGACCCACCCUUUGUCUCUCCAGCCCUGGGAGACUGACUCAGAGAGCAACGAAGGACCCCUGCGACCUCCUCUGGCCUGGCUUUGGAAAUGACCAAAGGCACCCAGUUUAACCCCUGGAUGGUCUACUGACUGCAAGGCUCUAUUUGCCUGCCAUGACUACACUCACGGAGCCGGGUCUUUCUUUUCCUGUUGGCAAGGUCAUGUUUCCUCACAUCCCUAGAAAUGCCUGCUGCUUCCUCUCAAAUUUCUCAGCUGCCCAUACGAAGGCAGCAUUACCUCCAUCUAACACACUCAAGGUCCUAGGAACACUAAUUCCCUUGUCAAGUCACUGUAAAGAGCGAGUUCCCACCUGGCCUCCAUCUCUUCUUCCCGUGCCUUCUAGAGGGGUCCUCUCUCUUCAAUCAAGGUCUGAAUUCCCACAGUGUUUCUAGUUUCAGCACCUCCUUGUGUGACAGGCUGACCUACAGAGCUCUGCUGACGUGGUUGGAACACCUCCCACCAAGCCUGUGUUUUGUGGCUCUUGUUGUCAGUGGACGCUGGGCUCCCCUCCCCCAUUUUGAAACCACCUGCAGUGAAUAAAAUGAAGGUUUUCAACUACACAGCCUAUCAAGCUCAGGAUGCAAGACUGAACAAAACAGGGCUUUGGUAGUGUCGGAUACGGGUUUUUACCGUAUAGUAAAAUGGUUUAAUAUACUUUAAAUGUCUCAUGUCAAAGAAGGCUAGGAGACAAGAGUUAGNAGGGAAAAAAAAAAUAAAAAAAAAAAAAAAAAAAAAAACUCCUUGUGGCUAGACGAUUUUUAGAAAAUCCAUUUUUGCACUCAACUUAGUCAAGAGAGUCCCUGACCUUUGCAAGUGAGCAAGAAGUGGCCACAGAGGUAACAUCAGUACUGAAUCGUCAUUAUUGACUCAGGUGGUUGAUCAUUAAUGGAUUCUCUUCACUUUUAAGGGUUCUAGGACCUUUUCUUUUUUCCCCCAGAAUAAAGAUAUCAUCAAAGUCAUAGAACAUAUUUGUUCUUCCCACAAAGGAGAAUUUUAACACUCUGCCUAAGUCUCUAAGAAAGAACACUGUGAAAGGUUGGUCUCAUGAAGAAAAAGCCCCUCACUUGUAGUUACCCAGAGGCCACUAGAAGCCCUAUUCAUGGAAGCCCUUGGCUGACCUACAAAUACUUUGAAAUGGAUAAAAGCCAAGUCUCCUGAAUAGGAACUGAACACAAGGACUUAGCAGCUGAUGGUGCUCAAGGUCAACCCCUCAUGGAGACAGAGCAUGAGUUUUUGCCUUAAAUACCAGCAACUUCCAGUUUUAAAGGGAUGAGGUUUGAUACCAGCCUCAAACCCCACUCAGGGAUGGCGAGGAGCAGCUUAAAUAAGAAUUUCUACCUGUACGCCAUUUGACUCACCAAAACAUCAGAGAACUAGAAACCAAGAGAGAUGGUUUUUCCAGUCUGGGUCCUUGUUCUCACCCCAGGUAUGUUGACAGUCCCACAUGCAGAGGUAUCUUGGUAAUAACAUAUUCAAAGUUCAGGUUCCUUGAGAAGUAAUAGCCACCUUUACAGGGAAAUGGUUGGGGCCAGCGUGGUUGGUUGAUUUCCUGUUAACUACUUAUGGCCUCAAUGGAAGAGAGUGGGACAGCUUGCUUUCGCCCUACACAAGCAAGAGUAUGAGUCAGAAUACUUGAAAAAAAAAAAAAAAGUACGUUAAUUUGACUAAGAAAGUCUUUUUGAUCCAAGAGUUUAACAAAAAAUAAGAUAAAAGCUUUCCUAUCAGACUUGUAAAAUCGGUCUUGUUCUCUCCUGAUAGGAAACGGUGUCAUUCAGCAAGUUCCUCGAAAACAAUGGAUUCUUAUGACUACAGACCUAUUUCAUCUUAGAAAUUGAUGAGCAUGCAAACGAUUAGAAUCUGCAACAAUGAACAUUGUACAACAGUCUGUGAGGUCCAUGCCAUCCGGUGGAAUUAACAGUAACACAGGCCUCAGCAGUGAGGGGUUCCACUGAUCUCCACUCCCUUUUGAGUAGAGUUGGGGUGCAUUCCCCGAUCCGUGGGUACGGGGGGCAGCGGCCACGGCAAUGGCCCCCAACCCUGGCCCUUUCCUGGCAUCCCCUCCCCUACCCAGGGAACUCAGGAACCCCUUCCGUGAAAGAAAAUGUUGCUUUUCUCAACAGCAGGGCUGGGCAUUCCUGACAGAGAGUUUACCAGGACGCCCUCGGAGGGAGCCUGAGAUUAGGCUCAAUUCACUUAACCUUUAGGAGGUUUCCUGGUAAAAAGAUUCACAACUCUCUAGGUAAUUUUUUUUUUUUUUUUAAGUACAUUCACUGCCAUUUCUCGUUCAUAAGGAAGAAAUUCCAGGUUGGGUGUAGUUUCCAAACAAGAAAAGGAUUAACGUUUUCACUGCUGGCUAGAUGUUUCAGUGGCAGGUCCUGAAGCGUGGACGAGCUCUCCAUGCACUGGGCUGUAUGAACCAAUCACCACUAGGCCAGGAGCCACCUGGCCGCAUGGACCAAGUUACAUUCAGUUACGUGACGUCACACUGGACGUUCUCAGAAAAACAUGAGCUAAAGAGUCUUCAGGAAGGGGAUAUGUAUGUGGCCCUGGUCAUGCUAAAAAACCAAUUUCUGGAAUUUUAAUUUAUGGUUGGUUGGACAUUAAAGACAAGCACUCACUUGUCUUAACAUCUUUCUUGAGACAAUGCAGGACAUGACCGAUCCUAACGUGUGCAACAGGGAAAAAACAAAUGGUGCCAAUGGAACAGGAAGCUUACAGAAGUGGGGGGAGGGGGAGAAGAAAGAUCAACAGUCUCUAGUUUAUUAUGAAUAGAAAGAAAUUUCCAGAAUUUACAAACACCCACAUUGUUCAUUCCAAAGAGAGCUUUUGAUUCAAAGGGAUCCCCCAUGUCUCCUCCUCUUUACAGUAUAUACAAUGGAAGACUCUGAUUUCCUUUUUUUGCAAUUUUGCUUCCAUUCAAUGGCCAAGUUCAAGCUGACACUUGAAAAUACCCAGUAGCCUCUAUCCUUCUUCAGUUUCAUUAACAUGGCCUACUGCCUUACAGAAAAAAAAAAAAAAAAAAAAAAAAAAAAAAUGAAGAUCAAUUCUUGGAAGGAUCUCAGCUCAACAUCAGGGCUAUAUUACACGACAAGUUAUCAGCAAAUAUAACUAUACAACUGAGAACCAUCUAUGGCACUAUGAUUCUUAUUAUAUUAUUUUUCUGAAUUACAAUCUUAAAACAAGGAUCGUACCCUAGUCUACGCUGUUAGCCUUGUUUUAAGCCUCUGCUCCACUCUUUACAACAGAACACUGUAUAUACCUCAGUUCCACAUCCAAAAAAGAGAUGUGCUGUAAGAAAAGUUACAUUUUAAUUAAAAAAAUUACACAUAUAAAUCAAAA
rnacentral:lncRNA from 1 species